GCCAGCAUGGUCUAGUGGUUUGAGUGUUGGACUACAACUCUGGAGACCAGGGUUUGAAUCCUGGUUCAGCCA